rnacentral:lncRNA from 1 species
UUUCGACAUUGUGAAAGACUAAGUUCUCAGUUCCUUAAGAGUAAAUCUGAGACAAAGAAAGAGUGCCCACAGCUCCAGCUUUGCUUCCAUCCCUCUGGUUUUGUAGAGGGAGAAGGAAUGCCUGGAUUUGCCACCCCACCAAGGUUACAUCCAACGUGAGAGGACUAAGUCCCUGUAUUAACUGUAAUUUCUUUUUUUUCUGGUUUAUAUUUUAUUCUACUUUAUUUUAAAUCUCAGGUGUACAUCAUUAUAUAUUUCAACUUCUCUGUAGACUACAUCGUGCUCACCACCCAAAGACCAAUUACAACCAGUCACCACACACGUGCCCACUCACCCCUUUUGCCCUCCUCCCGUCCCCCUUCCCCACUGGUAACCACCAAUCAAAUCUCUGUUGCUAUGUAUUUGUUUGUCAUUGUUUUUAUCUUUUACUUAUGAGUGAGAUCAUACAGUAUUUGUCUUUCUCCUUCUGACUUAUUUCACUCAGCAUAAUACCCUCAAGGUCCAUCCAUGUUGUCACAAAUGGCUGGAUUUCAUCAUUUCUUAUGGCUGAGUAGUAUUCCAUUGUGUAUAAACACCACAUCUUCUUUAUCCAUUCGUCCGUUGAUGGGCACCUAGCUUGCUUCCAAGUCUUGGCUAUUAUGAAUAAUGCUGUGAUAAACUAACUAUAAUUUCUUAUUUUCUGAUGCUCUGGUAGCUGGGGCCUCACUGACUGGGGAGAGACUGCCUGUCCUAGGGUUAGCCAGUUCUUAGAGAUAGCAAGGAGGGAGUGUGCUUCUCAUUUGUAAAUUAACCAAUCCAGAACCCAUACUCCAAACCGCCUCCUCUGUGUGGCUCUUACACUCCAGGGGACAAUAUUCCUCUGCCCUAACCAUCCCAGGACCAGGUAUCAGACAACUAGAGACAGCCCUUUAGCUCAGAGCUCACCCAAAUUACUCGAAUUUGCCAACCCUAAAUCUGCUUACCCUCCCUUGCCUUGCUGUUCCCACCGAAACUGCAAUAAAGGCUGUGCCCCUGCUUCCCCCGGCUCCUUCUGCCUCCCGACUGCCCCUGGUGCUUCCUCAAGUGGCUUUGUGUGGUGGGCAAGCCCCCUCCUCUUGGGAACUAUGAGUAACAAAUUAUCUUUCCAAUGACAGUCAUCUCCUGCUCAGUCGGCUUUGUUGAACCUGAAUAAAAACAAAAUCCAGGGUACAUUUUUAAACAGUCCUCCAUAGGAAAUAGGGGUACUAUUAGGAAGGCGGAUAUGCAUGCUGAGUAGGCCCAAAAUGACAAAUGUCCACUACAUGAGUGCAGAGAGAAGCAGAUAAAACCAAUCCACAGAGAGAGAGAAAGGAUGCACAAGUGGGAAGGCUUGGGAGAGAUUUGGGGAGAGUAACUUCAGUUAUCACUUUCAAGUCCCUGUGUCUAGGCCCUUAGAAGGCCCAGCUCCACCCCUGCAACUUGAAGUUGGAGAUGUGCUGCUAUUGCCUUCCAGUAAACACCCAGUUUUGGUUGUGCAAGUUCAGUAAGUUUCUGCUCUUUUCAGUCAAUGAUUCCUCUUUCUAACAGGAACCUUGGUUCCCACGUGGAUGCAUCUCAACUUAUAAGAAGGUGUUUUUCCAGAUGGUGACCAAUGGUUGUCUGCCCAGGCACCUCCUGCCUCCACCCCAACUCUGCCUUCCUCGCACCCUGCAGGAAAGCCUGUCCUCUGGUCUUAAGAUUUGAGGCCAGAGCAUUUCUAGCCCUGAUGCCUCCUCCUCUUCUCAUUUAACUCCCUCUCACCUUGUUUUCCUUGCCCUACUAGUUUGACCUCAGGAGUAGGGGUUCCCUUUGCAGAGCAGGGGUGAAGGCCAAGAUCCUCUGAGCAGAGUCCGCAAGCUCCUCCUCUCGACUUCUGCCACUUGGGCAGCCCCACAACCCAGGCUGGCAGCACGGGCUCUAUAACUUCUGAUCCACUCCCCCUAGUCUUGCUGCCUCACCUUUUCAGCCUGAAUUCCAGCCCCUACCUUUAGGAACUGUCAUCAUGUUUAAUCACGCCUGAGGGAGACCCCCUCCACCUCCCUAAAUGGAAGGUAUUCCAUUACAUCGUAAAGUGUGGUUUAAGUAGUUGCAGGGAAGUGUGACAGAAAGUCUGUCAGAGUUGGGCUGGACUUGCCAAAACUUGGUGUAAUGUGGGGAUGCCAUCAACGUGCCUCCUAAGGAAAUCUGAGAUGAGCUGAGGUGGAGGCAAGUGAGGAUGUUCAAGGUAAGAGGCAGGAAAUGGUGCGGGGGAAGGGCAGGCAAAGCUCAAACCCCGGGUGGCCUGGGAAAGAAGGGUUCCCAGUGGGUGGGGGCAGGGACUUCCUCAUCAUUGCUGCCACACAGAGGCACAGGGACCUUCAGGUUAUCCUGACUGCAUUAGCGUGGGGUGGGUAGGGCCCAACUCUUGCUAGGAGUGGGGGAGCCAAUAGGGAGGUGGGGGAAGGAUAGGAUUUCCUCCAACAAGUGUCUCAGCCUGAGGCCAGAGGCACCUGGACCAGAGAGGAAAGGCCCUUCCUCCAGAGAAGAGAAGUUGGUGGUUCCUGGUGGAGAAAGCCUGAGCUCAGGGCAGCAGGAGGGGUUAGCUAACAAGAGAAUCCAACAGCAUGGUCUAAGCCCGAAGACAGCAACUGAGCAAAUAUGGAAAAUGGGUCCAGCCAGAUUCUGAGACCUUUAGGGGCCCCUUCUGAGUGCCUCCCCAGAUCCCCCGCCCCCACAGUCCUUUGUCCAAAAUGGACGCCUUCAGCCUCCAGCCUCUCUGUCUGUCUCACCUGAGUGGUCAGUCAGGGCUCAGUCCUGCUGUCCCCCCUCAGCCUCUCGUCUCUGCCAUCCUCCACCUCUCAUACUGUGGAAACUAGCCCUGCUCCAUCCCUCCGGGUGAGCCCAGGACCUGCCAAGCUGCGCCAGCCUCGCCCAAGCCACGCUCUGGCUAGGACACAGUCUUUUCUGUCUCAGCAGGCUACAGGCACCUGAGGCUUUCAUUGUGAUGACACUUCAAAGCCUUUCUGGAAGCAGGUGAGAGAUAAAGUGUAAACAAGUGAACGAGUGAGUCAUCCUGGCCCUCCCUCCCAGCCCCGGAUGGAUGACAGGAAUAUCCUUCCUGCCUCUGUCUCACCCACCAGCCUCUCAAAUAACCAAACACCGGUUCUCUCCUGAUGGAGACACUGUCCUGGGGCCGGGGCCCUUCAAGGCUCUUGCGCCGCCCACUGCCACCUGUAUCAUCUUCCUCUUCAGCACACCCCCGCCAUCGACUGAGCAAUAAUUCACCCGGGCAGAGCACUUUCCGCAGAUUAGUUCAAUCUUCACAACAACCUUGUGAGGUAGAUACUAUUGUAUUCAUUCUACAGGUGACAAAAGCAAGGCUUGGAGAGGUUAAGUAACUUAUCCAAGGUUGCACAGGUUGAUGGGGGAUUCUGUUCAAAUUCCAGCAGUCCGACUCCAGAGUCAGUACUUUUAAGCACCAUCCAUACUCCUACCCUCUCUCCUCUUUUCCCUUUUAGAACUCCCAACUGUAACACACACACACACACACCUGUGACGCUGCAGUUGCCCUGUAGCUUUGCCUCUGACUCUCCUCCAAUCACAAGCAGUUCUCAUGCACAUUGCAAAGCCCAGCCCAUCCUCUCCCUCUUCUCCAACAUGGGAGAAGGGAGAGCCUCUUAGCUCGCGGAGGGGUGAGGAGGUUGGGAAAAGCGGCCGGAUAAUUGCAGUGACUUCUUUGUGAGAUUUCUCCUCAGAAUAUCAGUUUUGGAAGGUUCCUGAGGUGACUAAGAGGGAAAGGCCAGGGGAUGGGGAUUGCAAAGAUGACCCUGCGGCCCAUUUCUUUCCAUCCAGCUGUGACCAGAGCCUCAGCCUCACCUUUCAGGAGGGGAGCAAGGGGGCAGAGUGUUGGGAGGGGGAGAUGGGGAAGAGAACAGCUCAUCACCUCCAUGUCUCAUGGCUGGAGGGCACGUGGCAGCAGGAAAGAAGAAGUGCACAGCACAGGCUCUGGAAUCAGACAGGCCUGUGAAGGAUGACAUGAGUGGAGCCAUAUUAAACCAGAGCCGGAGCAGCCAUUUCAGAGGCAUUGCCUUGCACGUCUUGUCUUCUCUAUCUUCCAAACUGGACCAAACCACCAACAUUCCAAGAAGUCAGUAAGGAUAAGAAGAUCCUGUCUGUAAGGACCGAUGAAAUUGGACUUUGCUGAUGACUGAAUCACUAACCAAUCAAUGAAGUGCAAGUCUAGCCUUUUCCCUGAUAUCGAACCUCAGGCCAGUCUCUGAAGUACAGGUCCAGCCUUGCCUCAUGUAGCACCAAAGGACCCCUCUUUAACACAACUCACCUCAUCCUCCCUUUUUCCCAGAAAAGCCCUAAACUCGUCUCCUGUCAUCAGGACACUGUUUGGGUUUCUACCUGAAUCUGUGCUCCCUGAAUUGCAAUUUUUUGAUCCCAAAUAAAUGCUUUGCCUUGUGUUUCUGUUUUUGUAGGAUGUCAGGCCUAAGUCUGAAUCUCACUGCUUUGUAGCCUUGGAUCUGGCAGGAGUCACAUUAUCCAAGUGAUCAAAGCAACACCAGCAAUAAUGGGACCAGCUGACAUCCUGUGCCUCCUGAUUGAUGCACCGAGGAGGACCCAGCAUCACUCACGUGGCAUCCCUGUCCAAAAUGCAGCAACUGAAUCUCAUCACGAGAAAACUGUCAACAUCCAAACUCUUCAAAAAAAUCAGUAUUAUGAAAGGCAAAAGAGAUUGAGAAGAACUUUUCCAGAUUAAAGAAGACUCAAGAGGGCUGGCCCAGUGGCGCAGCGGUUAAGUUCACAUGUUCUGCUUCUCGGUGGCCCGGGGUUCGCUGGUUCGGAUUCUGGGUGUAGACAUGGCACCGCCAGGCAAAAGCCAUGCUGUGGUAGGCGUCCCACAUAUAAAGGAGAGGAAGAUGGACACAGAUGCUAGCUCAGGGCCAGUCUUCCUCAGCAAAAAGAGGAGGAUUGGUGGUAGUUAGCUCAGGGCUAAUCAUCCUGGAGAAAAAAAAAAAGAAGUACUGAUCUAGUUACAGAAUGUUCUUGACCUGGGAUCAAAGAGAUCCAUGAACCUGAAUGGAAAAAGAAGACUAAGGAGACAUCACAAUUAACUGUAACACAUAAUCUUGGAUUGGAUCCUGGAUCAGGAAAAAGAAAAAAAAGCUAUAAAAGAUGGUAUUGGGACAAGGGGCAAAUUUAAAUAUAUAUGGUCUAUAUAGACCAUAUAUAAGAUAAUCGUGUGUUGGGGCCAGCCCCGUGGCCAAGUGGCUAUAUUUGGGCACUCUGCUUCAGCGGCCCAGGGUUUCGCAGGUUCAGAUCCUGGGCGUGGACAUGGCACUGCUCAUCAGGCCACGCUGAGGCGGCAUCCCACAUGCCACAACUAGAAGGACUCACAACUGAAAAUUCACAACUAUGUACCGGGGGGAUUUGGGGAGAAAAAGCAAAAAUAAAGAAAGAAAAGAAGAUUGGCAACAGUUGUUAGCUCAGGUGCCAAUCUUUAAAAAAAUAAAAAAUAAAAUGGAG